GGGGAUUAGUGGCGAACGGGUGAGUAACACGUGAGUAACCUGCCCUUAACUCUGGGAUAAGCCUGGGAAACUGGGUCUAAUACCGGAUAUGACUCCUCAUCGCAUGGUGGGGGGUGGAAAGCUUUUUGUGGUUUUGGAUGGACUCGCGGCCUAUCAGCUUGUUGGUGAGGUAAUGGCUUACCAAGGCGACGACGGGUAGCCGGCCUGAGAGGGUGACCGGCCACACUGGGACUGAGACACGGCCCAGACUCCUACGGGAGGCAGCAGUGGGGAAUAUUGCACAAUGGGCGCAAGCCUGAUGCAGCGACGCCGCGUGAGGGAUGACGGCCUUCGGGUUGUAAACCUCUUUCAGUAGGGAAGAAGCGAAAGUGACGGUACCUGCAGAAGAAGCGCCGGCUAACUACGUGCCAGCAGCCGCGGUAAUACGUAGGGCGCAAGCGUUAUCCGGAAUUAUUGGGCGUAAAGAGCUCGUAGGCGGUUUGUCGCGUCUGCCGUGAAAGUCCGGGGCUCAACUCCGGAUCUGCGGUGGGUACGGGCAGACUAGAGUGAUGUAGGGGAGACUGGAAUUCCUGGUGUAGCGGUGAAAUGCGCAGAUAUCAGGAGGAACACCGAUGGCGAAGGCAGGUCUCUGGGCAUUAACUGACGCUGAGGAGCGAAAGCAUGGGGAGCGAACAGGAUUAGAUACCCUGGUAGUCCAUGCCGUAAACGUUGGGCACUAGGUGU
rnacentral:rRNA from 1 species